rnacentral:rRNA from 1 species
AGUGAACGCUGGCGGCAGGCCUAACACAUGCCAGUCGAGCGGCAGCGCGGGGGCAACCCUGGCGGCGAGCGGCGGACGGGUGAGGAAUUCGUCGGAAUCUGCCUUCUUGUGGGGGAUAACGUAGGGAAACUUACGCUAAUACCGCAUACGUCCUACGGGAGAAAGUGGGGGACCGCAAGGCCUCACGCAGAAAGAUGAGCCGACGACCGAUUAGCUAGUUGGUGGGGUAAAGGCCCACCAAGGCGACGAUCGGUAGCUGGUCUGAGAGGAUGAUCAGCCACACUGGGACUGAGACACGGCCCAGAGUCCUACGGGAGGCAGCAGUGGGGAAUAUUGGACAAUGGGCGCAAGCCUGAUCCAGCCAUGCCGCGUGUGUGAAGAAGGCCUUCGGGUUGUAAAGCACUUUUGUCCGGAAAGAAAUCCCUGGAGCUAAUACCUUCGGGGGAUGACGGUACCGGAAGAAUAAGCACCGGCUAACUUCGUG